CGCCGAGGCCGCGGGGCAUUCUGGGAAGUGUAGUUCAAGGUCUCCGCGGGCGGCACAGGUUUCUGCUGUAGGGGCCGAUACAAAGCAUCCUGGGAAGCGUCUCCGGGGUUUCAGUUAGCGUCCGCUCUGGGUCCUCCCCGCAUUCCGCACCCUCCGCGGCUGCUCCCUGGAUCUGAGGCUUGCGGGUUCGCGGCCGCGUGGAGCCGCAGAGCUCCCUGACGGGUGUCCGCGCGAGGCUCGCUCAGCCUCAGCCUCCGUGCGCCGAGGACAGGUGUGAGCGCCCCCGCUUCGCUGCUGCCGACUGGUGCGCGCCACACCGUGCUGCCUGGAGUUGGGGUGCGAGGGCUGCAGAAGCUGCAGAGGCCCAGGCUUGAGAUCCUGGCCUCAGGAUGAAGCUGUGCUCGGGGACCCGCCCGAGCAGGCCUCGUGCGCUCACGUGGUCACGGUCACAUGCACCGUCGAGUCUGCUGACCCAGCCAUUCCCCAGGAGGACGAUGACCAAGGUCAAGGUGAGUUGGGCUGACUGUCUUUCCACUUGCUGGUUUACUUGUUGAGUGGGCGUGGCUCUAUAGAGGCACACGUGCCACCUGUGCAUGUGGAGGUCAGAGCACAGUGUGACCCCCCCUGUCCCCGUCCUGGGGAUGGACACACAGUAAACUCAGUGUACCAGGCUUGCAAGCACCUUCACCCCUGAGCUGUCCCAUUGGCCCUUAAAUCCUCAUCUCUUUUCUCAAAGGCAGAGGUUCUCAAUGCUUCUUAAUGUGACCCACUAACAAUUUCUCGUGUGUGGUGACCCCAACCAUAAAAUUCUUUUUGUUGCCGCUUCGUAACUGUAAUUUUGCUCCUGUCCUGAAUCGUAAUGUGAACAUCUGAUAUUUGACCACUCUGAAAGACACACACAGGGCUCGUGAGCCACAGCCGAGAACCACACAGCUCCUCCCUGACAGUCAAGAGGCCCUUGGAUGCCAGCUGUUAAGCAUCCUUUGUUACCCGCAAUCCAAGCCCUCAGGGAGGCAGAGGCAGGAUGAUCUGAGUUCCAGGCCAGCCUGGUCUCCAAAGCAAGUUCAGGAUAGCCAGGGCUACAGAGAAACCUCGUUUCAAAACAACACCAACAACAAAAGAAUACUUAUUUUACCCAUCACAAAGUAAAUACAAAUGUCACAUUGCUUUCACUGGUUUAAAUUAGGACUUUUUGAUUUUUGACAUUUAUUUUGAAGAUGUGCGUGUACUUGCAGAAAAAGCUUAGGAGCCACUCUUGUUCUUCAUCACGUGGCUCCCAGAAACUGAUCUUGGGAUGUCGCCUUGGCAGCUUUACCCACCACUCGGCUGCCUCUUGCUGGGCUCCCCUGUAAGUGGGGAAGGAGUAAGAGAGCAAAAAUGUUUCCUCAUUUUAAACUUCGGAUGUGUGGACAUUGCAGGUUUAACAUGAGAAAAUGGACUGUAUGUAGAAAGGCCUUU
rnacentral:lncRNA from 1 species